AUGAAAGCUCUCGCGGGCGUCUGCUCGUUCCCCUCCGCGCGCGGCCUCCGCUACAUGACGCGCCGCGAGAUAUUCAGCAAUUGUGACGCAAACGGACAGAACACGUUUGGAAAACGUCCCGGUUCAAAAAGACACGUUUGCUCGCGUCUCUUCUGCCAUCCGGGCGCUCGUUCAUUGUCUGGCCGCCGUUGUCCUGGGAGACGCCGCGGCCCGUCGCUGUUUUUGUCGCUAUGGAUAUAUAUGCAAGCUCAUGGAAGGACAGUGCGCAUGCGCGCGCGUCCACAGGCGCGUCCUGCAAUGAUAACAGGCCACAUGAUCGAUACAUCUCACACGCCGCCUGCAGCUGGUGAGAGUCUCUGAGGGCAAAGCAGGACAGCAUCAGCUCAUCUGACCGGGGUUAUCACUGACCAAAUACCUCGUGCAUUCUAAACCUCACCCCUGCUGAGAAUGCUGGGAACCGUCGAUUCAUGGCAGGUGACUGAUGAGCUUUAGUGUUGAGUGCGUGUGUGAGAGAGAGAGAUGAUUUCAUUAAUUAUGAACCAUUGUUACAUUGUUUUGAAGUCUGAAGCAUUGGAACACAAUUAGCCAAGUCUAAAAAACAAAUAUACUGACCAUCAUUUAAGCCAGUCCAUCGGUUAACGUAAGACAGUUACAUAAUUAAGGUGUUUUUAACUUCACACCAUUGCUUCUGGCUAAAACACGAGUCCUCCAAUACCCAAAAUCCAAUAUCCGUAAUAGCCUAUUGCUUUCUCCAGUGAAAAAGACGUUUUCUGAAUCAGGAGAGAAAUCUGCACAGAUCAAGCACCAUUUACAAGCGACAAACAGUCCUAAUUAACUUUAAACAAAUUUGUGGUGGGUGGAUUUUGAUAUGAGAGAGGACAACAGGAGAUGGCCUUUUUCUCUGGAGGAAGCGAUAUUAUGGAUUACGGAGUUAUAUUUUGGUCAGAAUUGAUGGCUUGAAAUGAAAAUGCCUUGAUGGAUUUAUUUCUUAGAAAACACAUAGCUUUUCACUUCACAAGACGUUAACUGAUGGACUGGAGUGGUGUGCAUUACUUGUUGAUUAUAGUGAUGUUUUUAUCAGCUGUUUGGACUCUCAUUCUGACGGCACCCAUUCACUGCAGAGCAUCCAUUGAUGAGCAAGUAAUGCAAUGCUACAUUUUCUCUAAAUCUGAUGAAGAAACAAACUCAUCUACAUCUUGGAUGGCCAAGAAGACAAAAGGGGUGUUUCAGCAGCACCCACAUGCAUGGAUGAAAUAUUGAAGCCAUAAACCGAUUUGUAAACCACAAUCAAUAUUAGCCAAAAUCUUGUUUUCCAUUUGUUAAAUAUUUUUCAUUUUCCAGAUUGAAUGGAAUAAUUGAU
ensembl:lncRNA